UACGCAGGGGGCUAGCGUUGCUCGGAAUCACUGGGCGUAAAGCGCACGUAGGCGGAUUGUUAAGUCAGGGGUGAAAUCCUGGAGCUCAACUCCAGAACUGCCUCCGAUACUGAGAGUCUCCGAGUCCGGGAGAGGUGAGUGGAACUGCGAGUGUAGAGGUGAAAUUCGUAGAUAUUCGCAAGAACACCAGUGGCGAAGGCGGCUCACUGGCCCGGUACUGACGCUGAGGUGCGAAAGCGUGGGGAGCAAACAGG
rnacentral:rRNA from 1 species